UUUCUAAUAAAAGAUAAUAAUCU
rnacentral:tRNA from 1 species